UGUUAAAAAUUUCAUCUAUUUGUAUAGUUAAAAACCAGCGUGGUCGAUCGAAUAACCAGACAAUGACAUAUGGUGUGACAUAUGAUAUGCAAUGUGUACCUCAUGCCGAAUUUUUAUAGUAGAAAUGAAUAAAAUUUUUAAUA
rfam:Gossypium raimondii Chr02_contig_534, whole genome shotgun sequence.